CAGUCACAACAUGCAUUAUAAUCCUCAAUUUUUAUUUGUAGUUGUCAAGAAGAGUCAAAAUACAGUAACCUCAUAUUGUCUGAAGCUAUUUGUCUACCUGCAGAUACAAAAAUUUCGCUUGCAUAAAAUCCAACUCCAUUGAUGCCCCCAAUUUGCUGAAACACCAUGAGGCCAACACCUACCUGAACAUGGUCAAUGUGAUCUAUCAAAUUUCAUGCAGAUAAGUUUAUUGCGGCUAAUGAAUUUAAGAGGUCGCUUACAAUCACAGAACGGAUAUAUAUGCUUUGAAACAGGUCUUGAAUCCCAGCCUUGGGAAGGGUCUGAAGGUCUUCAAUGUAUUCCUGCAUAGCAACAUCUUCUCCACGAAGCUUUUGCAAUGCAGCUGUGAACUCUUUCUGGUUCCCCACCUUUGCCUGAAAUUUAUUCUCAUGUCACCAAGGAAGAUUUAUUCUAUUGUGUACUGGGCCCGAUUGUAUACUAAAUGGAAGAGGUACCAGCCAUCUUGGAGAUUCUGGAACAAAAACAAGUCCGAGAAGUAGAAGAAGGUAACAAGAGUGCCGACUACGAAAGCAACCGAAUGGCCACCACAUAUCAGCAGCUGUGAGAAAGAAGUGCAACGGUUGCAAGUCCACCUCGCAGAUUCUUCGGUGCUAUUUCAGCAAUGAAAACAGUGGCACAGGUUUAUCAUGAAGAAUUCACAGACUUGGAGAUUGAAGAUGAUGAUGAAUAACUUACGCAUGAUCCAAACUCGAAGGAGCCACAGACCACGACUGCAGUGCUAAGCAGAACCAUCCAUAUCGAUCCCUGGC